CCUUGCUUUACAGACACCCUCAGGAGAAAUGUGACCUACUUGAAGAACAGGAAACUGGCACUUCUCAGCAUGAGACUUAUUUUUGUCUUAAGGACACUGUGAAUCAGAUAUUCUGUGAAAGAUCAGCUGUGAAUUGCUGGCUGAUUUGAAGGUUCAAACUUUCAUGUUGUUGGAUGAUCAUAGAGCUGCCCUGGAGACUGUAGGGUUGACAUUUCGCAGUUUUGAACUGAUCCUAUGUAGUUUCAUGAGAUGUGCCUUGAAUCUCCCCAGAAGCAAGUUCUUCCUUCCAGAGGUGGAAGGAAUAGAGGUUCCCCUGCUGGGUGGGAUCUGGACUGACCAUCAGCAAGGACAGCGUUGAGGGUCACCUUUGUGGGGAGUAGCCGUGAUGUCCAAACAUGUCACCAUGAGUGAAACAGCAUCGCUGGUGCAUAUGACAGCAACAGCAGG